rnacentral:rRNA from 1 species
CGAUCUGUGCAUGCAGCAUAUCAAUAAGCGGAGGAAAAGAAACUAACAAGGAUUCCCCUAGUAACGGCGAGUGAAGCGGGAAGAGCUCAAAUUUGAAAUCUUAAAGGGUUUCCCUUUACGAAUUGUAGUUUAAAGAAGUGUUUUCUGUUGAGGUUUUGGUAAAAGUUCUUUGGACUAGGACAUCAUAGAGGGUGAGAAUCCCGUAUUUGACCUUUACUUUCAACUUUGUGAUACACUUUCAAAGAGUCGGAUUGUUUGGGAAUGCAGUCCAAAAUGGGUGGUAAAUUUCAUCUAAAGCUAAAUAUUGGCGAGAGGACCGAUAGCGAACAAGUACCGUGAGGGAAAGAUGAAAAGAACUUUGAAAAGAGAGUUAAACAGUACGUGAAAUUGUCCAAAAGGGAAGCGUUUGACACCAGUGUUGUUUUUCUGAAAAUCAAUUAAAGAACUGUUUAUGCUAAGCUGUUUAGACUUUAUCAGCUAUCUGUUUAGUUUUGAGCUUUUCUUUAAUGCACUUUUCAGUUAACAAGUCAACAUCAAUUUCUUUUGCUGUAAAAAAGCUUGAGGAAGGUGGCUUGAGAUUCGUCUUAAGUGUUUAUAGCCUCUUGCCUAUGCAGUCGGAGAGAUUGAGGUCUGCAGCGUAGAUCCUUCGGGGCUAAAUGCAUUUGUGCUAAGUUAUAGCAUUUUAUAGACAACUUGUUGACUAUGAUUUGUCUUGUAGCUUACUCGCUUAUGUUAUUUUACCUACGCUUAGGAUGUUGAGUCGUAGAGCACGCAG